rnacentral:tRNA from 1 species
GGCUGUGUGGUCUAGAGGUAUAAUUCUCGCUUAGGGUGUGAGAGGUCUCGAGUUCAAUUUUCGGCAUAGCCC